rnacentral:misc_RNA from 1 species
GAUGAAGAACGUAGCGAAAUGCAAUAAGUAAUGUGAAUUGCAGAAUUCAGUGAAUCAUCGAAUCUUUGAACGCACAUUGCGCCCGCCAGUAUUCUGGCGGGCAUGCCUGUUCGAGCGUCAUUUCAACCAUCAAGCCCCCGGCUUGUGUUGGGGACCUGCGGCUGCCGCAGGCCCUGAAAACCAGUGGCGGGCUCGCUAGUCACUCCGAGCGUAGUAAUACAUCUCGCUCAGGGCGUGCUGCGGGUUCCGGCCGUUAAAAAGCCUUAUUUACCCAAGGUUGACCUCGGAUCAGGUAGGAAGACCCGCUGAACUUAAGCAUAUCAAUAAGCGGAGGA